GGGCGCAAGCCUGAUGCAGCGACGCCGCGUGAGGGAUGGAGGCCUUCGGGUUGUAAACCUCUUUUGUUAGGGAGCAAGGCACUUUGUGUUGAGUGUACCUUUCGAAUAAGCACCGGCUAACUACGUGCCAGCAGCCGCGGUAAUACGUAGGGUGCAAGCGUUAUCCGGAAUUAUUGGGCGUAAAGGGCCCGUAGGCGGUUCGUCGCGUCCGGUGUGAAAGUCCAUCGCUUAACGGUGGAUCCGCGCCGGGUACGGGCGGGCUUGAGUGCGGUAGGGGAGACUGGAAUUCCCGGUGUAACGGUGGAAUGUGUAGAUAUCGGGAAGAACACC
rnacentral:rRNA from 1 species